rnacentral:lncRNA from 1 species
GAAAGGGAAACCAGUCCCGCGUCCGUUCUGCUCAGAACCUCGAACUUGGGGCCCGGGACGUCUCGGGCCCCUGUUUUGGGACGUGGAGGGGUCGUGACCUCCGAUCCGGGGUCACUCACCGCCCGCGCUCUGGUUGUAGUAGCUGAGCAGGGUCCUCAGGUUCACUCGGAAAAUCUGCUCAUUGCCCUUGGCUUUCUGUGUUUCCCGCUCCCAAUACUCCGGCCCCUCCUGCUCCAUCCACGGUGCCCGCGGCUCAUAUCUCGGAUUCUCCGCGUCGCUGUCGAAGCGCACGAACUCCGUGUUGUCCACGUAACCGACAGAGAUGAACCGGGGCUCCCCAAGGCCCGGCCGGGACACGGAGGUGUAGAAAUAACUCAGCAAGUGUGGGCCUGGAGGCAGGGCGCGAGGCCAUUUCCCUCCGGACCCGGUACUCACCCGCGCGGAUCUCGAUCAGGGUCUGGGCGACUGCCACCAGCAGAAGCAGCAUUGUUGACGCCAUUGCUCCCCUCUGGGAUUCUGGGCAUCUGACUCUGGCGGGCUGUGUGGACUUUAUAACCUGCUCCCGCGGCGACGAUGAUUGGUUCCCGGUGAUCACGUCACCCAAUGGGGGUGAGAACUGCCAGUAAGUCAUCAGUGUCCGGGCAGAAGGACCUGACCCAAGUUAGGAGCAGAAGUGAAACUGGGGAGAUGGGAAAUCCCCACCCCUGAUCUCACUGCCUGGAGACUAAGACUUUGCCUGAACCCUGUGCUGUGGACAGAGAGCUGUUUGUCUUGGUGUCUCCGAGUUCUGACCCAGAAGCUGUCAGGACACCAGGAGAGAAGAGACCUGCAGGCCAGACUCUCUGUAUCUUCCCUCCACCCUUCCUCUUCCUUCUUCUCUUCAGAAGUCAGACCCUGGAGCCUUCCAGAAGAAAAGCCACUUCCAGGAAUACAAUGGCAACACAAGCGCUUGGGGAUGCAGUGGAGAGAGGCUUCUCCUUAAAGCAGAGGCGCUGGCCUGCAAGCCCCAUUAGAACACCACAGAGACCAGGCUCUGUUCACCUGCAGUGGGCGGCUCACACUGCCAAGCCUGAGUGCAGGACUCUCUUCUAUAAAGAGGAUACUUCGUCUUUUCCCUCAGGAUCUGUCUUCUCAGCCCUGUGCUGGGACACAGAUUCCUUGUGUCACUUCCUAGAUGAAGUCUGUGGCUGCAGGUUUUUUGUUUGUUUCUUUUUUGUUUUUUUAAAAACAAAGAUCUUCCUUCUGAGUUUGUCUCUGUGGACCUGGGACAUUGUCUCAGCACAGGAGACCCCCUUGUCCACUGAAGAGAGACCCCUGUGCAGACCACAGACAGCAGGGCACUGAUCCCUGUCUCCACUUCACUUCUCUGUGACUGUACUUCCAUGGUGCAGUUGCUUUAGUGACUCAAUAACAGUAGGAGAGGAACUGUCACCAACUAUAACACAGAAUAAUGAUGAUAGUACGGUAGAAGCUAUGUAAUUUCUGACCCUCUCCCUCCCUCCCUGACCUUCACUCACACUUUUGAACUGAUGAGGUGAGGGACAUGAAUGUCACAGCUGUGUGGGACACUGGUUCUGAUAACCGAGUUGGCCCCAGAGUUUCUCAGGCCUGUGCAGUGUGGACACUGGAAGAAAGAUGAUUCUCAUGCCAGAGAGCACACACUGGUGAUGUGAGGUUUCAUCCCUGAUCAGUAGUGUGGGGGAAGAUUAAUUUUACCCAUUUCAUGAUUCUGUGGAUCUUUUCAAACCAUAGCCACAGAAGUGAAGUGGAAAGAAGAGCAGAGUUGGGUGGGGACUCCUGAAGAGAGUCACUCAUCACACAGAGCAACAAAUGUGUGUGACCACCGGUGUGAACUCCAGUCACCUCCCCAUGCAGAUCUCCACAGCAGCCCCCCAGAUUCACCGGGAUUCAGCAGACCCUGUCUCCCUGAACCACUGUUAUUGGAUGCUGUGAGCAUUUUCCGUGGGGAUUUGAUGCUCUUAGGUUUCUUCCUGACCAACCUAGAGAUGCUGUUGGGGUUAGGCAGUGCUUCACAGAGAGGAUCUGUCUCCAUUACAUUUCUUCUUAUUUUACUAUGUGUUGUUUUUUUUUUUUUUUUUUUUUUUUUUUGUUUUUUGUUUUUUUUUUUUUUGACAAGGUCUAUCUGCACAGCCCUGGCUAUUCGGGAAUUCAUUAUGUAGAUCAUGUUGCCCUUGCCUUUGCAUCCUAAGUGCUGGGUGUCUUAGUUUUGGUUUUGUUGUGGUGAUGAAACACCAUGACCAAGGCAUUCCUUCCUAAGAGAAACAUUUAGUAGAGGCUGGCUUACAGUUUCAGGGAUUUAGUCCAUUAUAACAGGAAGCAUGCCAGUGUGCAGGUACACAUGGUGCUGGAGGAGAUGAGACUUCUACACCUUGAUCCAAAGACAGCCAGGGAGAGGCUUUCCUUCCACACUGGGCAGAGCAUGAGCAUGGGAGACCUCAAAGCCCAACCUCACAGUGACACACUUCCUCCAACAAGGUCACACCUCCUAAUAGUGCCACUCCUUGUGGGCCAAGCUUUCAAACACAUGAGUCUAUGGGGCCACCUAUUCAAUCCACCACACUGGGAUUGAAGGCCUGUGUCACCACACCAGCUUCAGUUAGUUUUUUAUUACUGUGAUAAGACACUGUAACCAAGGCAACAUAUAAAAGAAUGUGUUUAAUCUCUUCUCUAGAUUCAGAGGUUUUGAGUCCAUGAUGACAGAGUGAAGGUGGUGGAGGAACAGCUGAGAACUCAGGACUUGAUUUGCAAGCAAAGGCUGAGACACUGGGUGUGAGGAGCCGGUGUGGCAACAGUCCCAAGAUGGCGCCCGGGACUGCAGCCAAGUCUUAUGACUUGUACCUGACUUCCUCAUACACCUUAAAAAAAGUCACGACCAUUGUGAGAACUGAGCAGGUGCACCAUGAUGCAGGAUCGGACCAUAUGAUGAGUGAUGAUUCUGGCCAAUGGACUGCUGUUACAUGGACUGGGCUGAUGGGGCGUGGUUGAGGGGUUAUAUAAGGGAUUGCGAUUGGGGGUGGAGUAAGGAGAUUCCUAGAGAGAUUGAUUUCUGGAGAGAGAUUCCUGCAUGCAUGUUGAAAGGUUCCUGAAUAAACUGCUUUGAG